CUCCGUGUACUCUCAGGACUACCGCAGCCUCCCGUUACAAGCCAUGGAACGGCAUAUUCUUAUUUAUUGGCAAAGCUGUCUCCAUUUAUUUGGUGUCCUUUUCUUAUUUGCCCAAAUAACAUUA
ensembl:snoRNA